rnacentral:rRNA from 1 species
GACCUUGAGGGUCUCUCGGACCGCGACCUCCCAACCCUUUGUCUACUUGGACCAUCGUUGUCUUCGGCGAGCCCGUCCUCACGGACCGCCGGAGGGAUCUUUACUGGCCCUCUGGUCCGCGCUCGUCGGUAGCCCAACCUUUAAAAUCUUUAACUAAACGUGCCUUAAUCUAAGUACAAUUAUUAAAUAAAAGCAAAACUUUCAACAACGGAUCUCUUGGUUCUGGCAUCGAUGAAGAACGCAGCGAAAUGCGAUAAGUAAUGCGAAUUGCAGAAUUCCAGUGAGUCNUCGAAUCUUUGAACGCACAUUGCGCCCUUUGGUAUUCCGAAGGGCAUGCCUGUUCGAGCGUCAUUAUCACCCCUCAAGCCCUCGGCUUGGUGUUGGACGGUUUGGUGGAGGCCCCCUCGGGGGCUCCUGCCCCUCCCCNAGACCAUGACGGCGGCCUCGUUGGACCCCCGGUNCCCUGAGUUCUUCCCGGGACCGUAUCGGACCUUGGGUUUCCGGACCGGUCUGCCUCCCCUCGGGAAAA